CAACAACUGUUGAUGGGCCCUCAACAGAAGUUCGUGGCAGCCAUACACCAUCACCAGAGCCUGAGCUAACACCUGGCACGGCCAAUGAGGCAAGCCACACGCCAGCAACAAGUGCGGAUGGGCCUUCCCAAGCCACUCAUAACCGCACACCAUUGCGAGAGCUUUCAACAAAUGUGCCACAGCCACUGCCUAGAGGCAGUGCACGAGCACAACUGGCU